rnacentral:rRNA from 1 species
AUUGAACGCUGGCGGCAUGCCUUACACAUGCAAGUCGAACGGCAGCAUGGAGAGCUUGCUCUCUGAUGGCGAGUGGUGAACGGGUGAGUAAAGCAUCGGAACGUACCGUGUAGUGGGGGAUAACGUAGCGAAAGUUACGCUAAUACCGCAUACGCACUGGGGUGGAAAGCAGGGGAUCGUAAGACCUUGCGCUAUACGAGCGGCCGAUGUCAGAUUAGCUAGUUGGUAGGGUAAAGGCCUACCAAGGCGACGAUCUGUAGCGGGUCUGAGAGGAUGAUCCGCCACACUGGGACUGAGACACGGCCCAGACUCCUACGGGAGGCAGCAGUGGGGAAUUUUGGACAAUGGGGGCAACCCUGAUCCAGCCAUGCCGCGUGAGUGAAGAAGGCCUUCGGGUUGUAAAGCUCUUUCGGCCGGGAAGAAAUCGCACAGGCUAAUACCCUGUGUGGAUGACGGUACCGGCAUAAGAAGCACCGGCUAACUACGUGCCAGCCGCCGCGGUAA